rnacentral:tRNA from 1 species
UCCCUGGUGGUCCAGUGGUUAAGACCUUGCCUUCCAAGCAGGGGGUACAGCUUAGAUCCCUGGUCGGGGAA